UCGCAGGUGAGGGAACUAUUACGCAUCGACGCCGCGCGAGCGAUGAAGGUCUUCGGCUCGUUACACUAAAUCCUUGUGGUAGACGGGAGUCGUAAGGGUCCCUAACGGUACACAAGGAUGAAGCCCCGGCUAACUACGUGCCAGAAGCCGCGGUAAUACGUAGGGGGCAAGCGUUUUCAGGAAUUAUUGGUCGUAAUGGGGUGGGCUGCGGCACUUUAAGUCAGAUGUGAAAGCCCAAGGCUUAACCGUGGGACUGCAUUUGAAACUGGAGGGCUUGAGUGUCGGAGAGGGCAGUGGAAUUCCCAGUGUAGCGGUGGAAUGCGUAGAUAUUGGGAGGAACACCAGUGGCGAAGGCGACUGCCUGGACGAUAACUGACGCUGAGGCACGAAAGCUAGGGGAGCAAAC
rnacentral:rRNA from 1 species